rnacentral:lncRNA from 1 species
AGUUCUAGAGGAAACUCCGCAUUUCCAAACAUACUAGAUAGUUCAAAAAUAAAAUACGAUUAUCAAAAAUUUUGUUUUCGACAUAAUUUAUUUAUUAAAAACCCAUAAUUCUUUUUCCCCCGUUCUCGCAAGCAAGCUUCAAUCAUCGUUUAGUCCACCUUCUUUGGUACCUAAUAUGUUAAGUGCAAGGGUCAAUAUUCCUAAACCACAAAUACAAUCAUAUAGAACAUAAAAACAUAAAAUAAGAGACAUAGUUAAAUACUCACCACAUAAAAGGUAAAAGUCAAAUAGCACAAAUAAGAUAACAAAAACAGAACUUGCAAUUCCCCAAAAUAAUGCUAAUAAGGUAAAUAAAAAUUAGACUAAAUGAUGCAUGAAAUGCAACUAGACCAUGAUCCGGAUAUCGCCCCAUUUGGCACUUAGAAUUUAACGCCCCAAGUAGCGUAUUCGCCCCAUUUGGCACAUAAUAUAAAUCGCCCCAUUUGACACUUGGAAUUUAACGCCCCAGGUAGCGUAUUCGCCCCAUUUGGCACAUAAUAACAAUCGCCCCAUUUGGCACUUGGAAUUUAACGCCCCAAGUAGCAUAUUCGCCCCAUUUGGCACAUAAUAACAAAUCGCCCCAUUUGGCACCUAAGACUCAACUAUAUGCCAUGCUAUGCUUCAUAUAAAUAAUUUUUAGAAAAUUCAUCACUAACAUGUACAUCUUCUAUCAAGUUUAAAACAUGUACAACAAGCAAAUUUGUAUUAUAAUUUCCACUACUAUCACCACAAUCAAUAUCACAUCAGAGACCAUCUCUAUGUCAGCAACUAGUUAUAACGUAAUUAAAUCAUCAACUUUCUUUCACAAAUCUCAUAGAUCACCACAUUCUCAAAAAUAAACCAUUGACAAUAUCACACCAAAAGUUAAAUAGACAUUCACGCAACAAGCAAUGUAGUAACAAUAUAUUCUAUUAUUUUAUUUAUGUUCUAUAGUUUUUAUCUCUUAUUAGGUAAGGAUUUUACCACCAACAUACCUUAUGAUCCUAUUACCUACAUGAUUGUACCGGAAUAUAAGCCCUUACCUUUACGUGCUUUCCUUUCCGAUGUUGAUUUUUAGAGAUUCCAAGACCAACCACACGAUCAGAGGUUUAGGACUCCUUUACGGUUAAGAGUUCUUGCCGUACUAAACAAAAGAGAUGCAAUUGUGAAGAGAAAGUGAUGUGUUGAAUGGUGUUUGAGAGAAUGAUGAGUUGGGGUCUAUUUAUAGUGUUGAUGGUUGAGAGAAAAAGUUAAUCAUGGGAUGGAUUGAGGGAGUUGUAU